rnacentral:tRNA from 1 species
GGGGGCGUAGCUCAGUCGGUUAGAGCGUCGGCCUGUCACGCCGAAGGUCGCGGGUUCGAGCCCCGUCGCUCCCGCCA